GCCCUGGGCCCUCCGCCACUGUCACUCAGCUAACUCUUGGCUUCCUUCUGGUCAGAGAGCUGAGAGUUCAAAGAGGCCUGGGUCAUUCUGUGCUGCUGCUGCUUCUGCCACUGCUGCUGCUGAAGAGACUUCAGCCUCCUGCUUGAGUCUGGGAGACCUCCCCCUACCCACAUAUUGCCACAGAGAUGGGCUCUGGCAGCCAUCUAUGAUUUAGAAGGGCCCACACCUGGUGUGUACCCUGCUUGCUGAGAAGGAAGCCCGGGAUCAGAUCUGCUGUUAUUGUGGUUCUCCACUCCAAAGCAGACAGACAGACCCAAGGCCAGAUGCCCGAGUGACGUCACAAAGUAAGGAUCUCAUGUCAUCCUGACCCAGCAGAAAAGUGGUCACCUGCUCCGUGAUGUGGGCCCAAGGACAGCCACCUCAUUAAUGAUGGCAGGGGUAGGAGAGACGUGGUGAGAGCUCCUCACAGGUACAGUGACACCUCCAGACGCCACCCCCACCUGGCCCCCGCCCUCUGUACUUCCUCCUCCCUCUGUACUUUUGCUGACCAAGGUUGAUGGAGCUUGCUCCCCACAGAGAGCUUGCUGACCUUCCAAGUCUAGCAAACAGGGCAGUCCUCUGCCUCGUUAGGUCCUAGGGUUCUGCCCACGUGAAGGUUAACCUAUACUGAAGCCAGCUUCCGUCACAUCCAUCCCUCUGGAGAUCCUAGAGUACCUUGUAAG
rnacentral:lncRNA from 1 species